UACACCGGUGAGUCUCCCCCGCAACUGGUCCGCGUCUUUGACGCACAAUACCUAUCCGUGCAUAAAUUAAAAGAAACAAAACACCGAGACCAUGUGAAUCUACAUACAUGCGACUGUACCCUUAUUAACUGCAACUCUAUAUUGCGCGUUAUAAUACAUAAUACCUAUUAUCGUCAUUUCAUUCGCCUACGCGACUACGCCGUCAACGCACGCACACAAAUUCCUCGUCUCCAUCAGUUCGAUUUUCGUUCUCGUAUCGUUAUAAUAUUACCAUGUAGAUCAGUACAUCAUCGCGAUGUUUUAUAUAAGAGUUGCGCAUCCGGCCGUAAUUGACUUAUAAUAUGUCAUGGAAUUUACAUCUUAUAACAGAGGAAUUAUAAUUCUUGAAUGACAUACAACGGAAUAUUUAAAAACGUGCAUCCAUAAUUGAACUAAAACAAUAUAUUGCGGUGGACGCGCGAUUAUAACAAGUUAUGACACUACAGCAAACGCGAUACAUCAGCUUUAAAAACACACUGUUCCAACACUUGCAAGUCUGCAACAGUAAUCAACAAAGCUGAAAUUAAAACAUACGUUUCCCGAAUACUUAGGUUUUAUGUAUGCUCCUUAAAUGUUCAUUCCUGGAUCGGAUUCAAGCGCAAUAAGACAACAAAAUAUUUAUAUGAACAUUGAACAUAUAAUAUAUAUCAUAUUAUGUGUUAAAAAAAAUUAUAUGAUCGUUUCAUAACAUAUAAAUAUCUACAUAUUAUAUAAAUACAUUUAUAAAAAUCUUAAUGAUUUACUAUAAAUUUAUUUUGCCAUUAUAUUCUUCGUAAGAAAUUUUUAAAUAAAUUUGUGGUAAAAAUGGGAAGUUGCAGAGCAAUUUAGUAAUAAAACAUAAUUCUAUAUAUAGUAAAAUAGUAGUAACCUCUUGUAAAAUUAUAUACAUAUUUUAUAAGUUUUUAACAUGAAAUCGUAGGUAUAAGAAUUGUAUUUAAUUAUUAUUUUAUGAAUCUGAAUUAGUGUAUUACUAUCAACGAUGUGUACCUAUAUAAAGCCAUAAUAUAUUGAAUAUUUAAAGUCUUCCGUA